AUUGAACGCUGGCGGCAUGCUUUACACAUGCAAGUCGGACGGCAGCACAGAGAAGCUUGCUUCUUGGGUGGCGAGUGGCGAACGGGUGAGUAACAUAUCGGAACGUACCGAGCAGUGGGGGAUAACUAAUCGAAAGAUUAGCUAAUACCGCAUAUUUUCUGAGGAAGAAAGCAGGGGACCAUUUGGCCUUGCGCUGUUUGAGCGGCCGAUAUCUGAUUAGCUAGUUGGUGGGGUAAAGGCCUACCAAGGCGACGAUCAGUAGCGGGUCUGAGAGGAUGAUCCGCCACACUGGGACUGAGACACGGCCCAGACUCCUACGGGAGGCAGCAGUGGGGAAUUUUGGACAAUGGGCGCAAGCCUGAUCCAGCCAUGCCGCGUGUCUGAAGAAGGCCUUCGGGUUGUAAAGGACUUUUGUCAGGGAAGAAAAGGGCGGGGUUAAUACCCCUGUCUGAUGACGGUACCU
rnacentral:rRNA from 1 species